rnacentral:rRNA from 1 species
UGAGCAAUCUGCCCUUCUCAUCGGAAUAAGCGUUGGAAACGACGUCUAAUGCCGAAUACGACCUCCUUUCGCAUGAUCGGAGGUGGAAAGCUCCGGCGGAGAAGGACGAGCUCGCGGCCUAUCAGCUAGUUGGUGUGGGUAAUGGCCCACCAAGGCGACGACGGGUAGCCGGCCUGAGAGGGUGACCGGCCACACUGGGACUGAGACACGGCCCAGACCUCCGUACGGGAGNAGCG